UUUGAUGAUUCUACGUGUGGCAUCUAAAACUUCAUAAGAGAAGUUCUUAUGAGAUCUAUAUAGGAUUCUAACAAAAAACCAGCAGUUCCCUGUUUUUUAGUCCAAACCAAAUUCAGGAAACAAUCGGUUCUUUACACGUACUAUACGCUCAGUUCAGUCUCAACCUUGCAUGGAAACAACAGAUUUGACUCAAGGGUGAUUUAAUUUCCACUUAAUGGUCUUCAUAUGGUCUCCAUCUGCAGGUUGUGUUUGUUAUUGAUUCCCAAGCUGCAAGUUCAAAUUCUACAUCAACAUUUACCAGAGGCCCUGAAGGUUUCUCAAAAUCAAUCAUAGUUUUCACGGCUGCUGAGGAAGCUCUUCCCCGCCGUUGGCGACUGUGAUACAAUGGAAAUAAACCUCAGAGAAGUGGUCUGGUGCAAAACUGCAACUUCACCAGCCGGCGUAAUUUUAGCACAUUUUACAGGAUGUUUUAUCUGGCGUCGGACAACAUGCGUCUUCCAGGGGUGAAGGCCUCAACUCAUGUGUUUGUUGAUGCAGGUGUGGCGUUGCUGUGCGGGCACAGAAUGAAAAGGGAUGGAAUUAGAAAACGCCGGGGCUUGACACAAGAAACACCCUCAUGACUGGGUGAGGCGCAACCCCAGCCUGUCACUUUACAGUGUUAUGUAAAGAUUUACAAUUUGCCAUUGCACACAUGCACACCCCAGUGUGCUUUGGGGCCGCCUAAGUUUUUUGUUUUUUUUGUACUGUUGCUGACCUACAUACAACGCUGCCAUGUCAGCCCUCAGAAUCAGCCUGCCCCAUAGAUCCCCUCAGACAGGAGACUCCCAGAGAAUCAUAGCAACGGACCACCCCUCCCAUACCCCUCUCAGGCAGCUAUGCAGGCCAUGACUGGGGGAAGGGGCUGAGUUAACAUAUGGCUUAUUGUGCUUUGUAGGCUAUGGCUUUCAGCUCAUCCACAACAUUGGCUCUCCCCCUGACACAAAACUGUGCUGGAUUGUUGGGUGGAGGGUUUUUUUCUUGCCUUCAACACUGACUCAUUGUGUGUUUUGUACAUGCACACAAAUAUAUUGUCCUUCAGGUCAGUGACACUGAAGUCCCCUAAUGUGCACUUGCAGAACUUAUUGUCCUCUGUCACCACGCUUGAUAACAGCGUGCGUAACACUCGCGACAGCUGAUGGGGCACGAUGACCACCAUGUUUUAUAACCACGUUUGCUGAGGAGGAGAAAUGUGUUGCUGGCACAGUUCGUGGCUCCGUUGCGUGUCUAGCGAAAUGGCCCCUCCACAGUUUCGGUGACGCAAGGGGAGCUAUUAAUAUCUCAGGGAACGGGAUGUUCUCGCCUCAGCAUUGGGGUCAUUCGAGGAUAAACAACACGCGUCCCCCGUAGACGGUGUCGCUACGGCGAGUGGUGCGAAGCUGGGGGAAGUUUUUUGAAGGGAGACCGACGCUGCAGAUGCUCCCGUCGCAUUUCCUCACACCCGCUCGCGCCGGGGCGCAUCCACGCGGUCCGUGCGCAGCGCUGCGGUUGCGCACCACAGCGCACGGACCGCGUGGAGCCUCGCCCACUUGUGAACCCGAUGACUCCAGAGCGCGCUCCGGUAGCAGCGGUGAAAUCAGCCGCGUGAUGCAAGAGUGCUUCUUUGGAAAUCGUAUGUUUUGAAAUUGCACCCCGUCGUUGUUUUCCAUUUGAACCCUCUGCUCUCCGCAAACAGGCUCACUACCGUGCGCAAAGUGGAGGCAAUGUUCUGUACAGUCGUGGCCCGUUCUUCAUGGAUGACAUGUCACAUAAGUGUUUCUGUUUGAGUGACCCUGGAAAAGAUGGCCUCAUCGCCACUGCAUCGGCGCAGCGAGUUAAUGCAGCGCCUGCGGACUCGCCACCAAGCUGAAUGGUGGAUGUUAUCAGACAUUGAAGUUUGCAGUUCACACAUGAAGAAGACAGCAGGAGAUUGUCUGAGUCAGACGUGUUCACACCAGCAGGAGCAUUUCAGAAACAUUCGAGAAUCUUCUCGAGAUUUUCCUGCCGUAUUCUCACAUGGGCUCAUGUGGACAUUUUUCCAAAAUUUUACCUGGGGCCUGCAACAUUUGCGUUCUAUCAUCUCCCACACAGAACCUCCAGGAAAGUUCAGGGAUAUGUCCGGACUUCAGUGCAUGUCUGAGAGCAGUUUGUGAAAGAUCUAAUCCUGAAUCCUCUCCUAAUAAAACACCAGAUUGUAUGAGGAUAGCAUGAAAAAGGAGUACAUACGUGUGCCAAGUGAAAUCCCUGCCUGUUCUGUCAUCAUUAGUCAUGAGGCCCCACUUCUGGUGUGUCACUAAGGAUGAGUAAACUUUGUAGAACAAAAACAAAAAGGAGUGACAAUAUAGUGGGACCUAUCUAUGGUCCACUGUAUGUUCUGUGUCUGUUCUUACAACUCAAAAAACAUAAUAUGCUAGUAUUUAUCGGAGAAUUGGUGUCUCUUAUUUACUAUUUUAUUAGGUUUAUUAUGCUCCGAGUCAGUAAAACAUAAGACACUUGACAUUUCCAGAAAGACUGGCUCUGCA